rnacentral:tRNA from 1 species
GCCGCGGUCGCAUAACCUGGUAUUGCGCAGGAUUGCUAAUCCUGUGUCCGAGAGGGCGUGUGGGUUCAAAUCCCGCCCGCGGCG